rnacentral:lncRNA from 1 species
UUUUUUUUUUUUUUUUUUUUUUUUGGCACAGGUGGACCAACGGGGGGUGUGACUGUGGGCACCGUGCGCGGAGGCGGAGGCUCAUCUGGUUCCCACCCUCCGUGCCGCUGGAUGCCCCAGGAUUUUCUCCAACCGGGGUCCCGGCUUGGAGCCCUCCUUGGUGCGAGCUUUGGCUCAGCAAUGGGGAAAGCGGGAAUGGGUCUCGCCCUUGUGGCUGCCUGGUGGAAGCGGCGGUUUUGACACACGAAUAGUCGUGGGGAGCAGAUCCAGAGAGGGCGCAUUUGCAAUAAUAACGCUUAGUUUAUCUCUGCCAGAGGGGCGGGAACAGGCCUUCGCGCUGGUGUCUUACAUCAGCCAAGCAAACCAUGGGCGCGAUUGGAGCCAACCACCUCCAGCGGGGUUUUGCUCCAGACUUAAGGUGCACGGAAACCGGAGCAUUCAGCCCUUCAUGGAUGCCUCCCGAAAACCUCACCAUGCCAGUGACACGACUGCAAACGGCGGGUGGCACAUGCCGGGGGCUUGGGAUGGGAGGGUUUGGAAACCUCGCUCCAAGGACGCCCUCAGCCAAGGAGCUUCGGCUCCUUCCUAGAAUUUCUAGAAGCACUUUUGGAGGGACCGAGGGCUUCCGGCCGGGCCCAGAGGAAUUUGAGCGCUUGCCCGGGCAGGCAGAAGCGCAGCCUGGGAGUGGAGAGGCUGCUGGGCCACAUUCCGGCCCAGCUUCCCCCGCUAGGCCCCAGCCCUGCCGCGGCGCCCCAGGAAGCACCUCCGAAAACAAAGCGCUGUGGUUUCAGCCCAAGGUUAAAGUCCACCGCGAGCGUGUUUUUUCCCCCCUCCAGAAUCUAAGAGCGAUAGCGUUUCUCCAAAUAAACCGCCAAUAAAUCAGCUCCCGGGGGCGCCUGCUGAAGAGCUCUGGUGACCUUGGGGGAUGGUUUUUCUGCCUGA